rnacentral:tRNA from 1 species
GGGGACAUAGCUCAGUUGGUAGAGUGCUUGCCUUGCAUGCAUAAAGCCUUGGGUUUGAUCCCCAUCACCACA